AGUCAUUCAACAAAUUGCAAGAAAACAUCUCUCUCUCUCUCUCUCAUCAGAAAGUGGAAAUGGUUAAGAUUGUGGAAAACAUGAAGAAAGGUUUAUUUAAUCUUGUUGACAUAGUAUCUUGUGGAAGCAAAGGAGCUAAAGAAAAACAUGGAGAGGAGCCAAAGCUUAACGUUGAGACAAAAUUACAAGUGACAACAGCAAGAGAUCCAGCAGAAUCAGAUAAACCUGGUGGUCCUUCUACUGAAUCAACUUAGAAGUUGAUAAUUUUGAAAGAACAAAAAAAGUUACCCCAUUCACCACUUCCUCAAUUUGUUGUUAUUUCACUUUAAUGUUUAUUUGAGUUAUUUUAAAUAUCUGUAUUACUGUAAUAUUUCGAGAUUUGCAGUGUAUUGUUUGUCAUCGUUUUGAACGUGCUCAAGCUUCAAUUUUAGAAGAUUUCCUAUAUAUUUGAAGCAUUUUUACUCAUAGAAUUAUAGUAGUAGUAAGUUAAAUGCUUUGCAUUGCCUCGCUUGUAGUUGUUCGAUUUUUUGUGAACAACAUGCUUAUAUCAAACAACAUAUUCAGAAUU